ensembl:ncRNA Y97E10B.14 ncRNA
CCUGGUAUCACUUUUCUGUGUUUUUCCUUUGUAAUAAAAUACCAAAAUUAAGCUGAUAAACAAAAUCAGCGUUAUUGUAUUUAUAACGACGUUAGAAAAUGUCCAGAACCGGGACACUGUGGGAUAGAGCGCAAGUGGCGGGUUACAGAA